CUGCUUGUGCCUUCAAGCUGGGCUGUGAGCUGGGGCUGGCUUGAAGGCCACUCUCAGCCUCCAAGGGGGUGCAGCUGGGGCUUCUCGGCCCUGGGCUUAAGGCCAUGGCUACAGUCAAGCCAUUUCCCAGUAGGAAGUAAAGCACUUAAAUCUGGGUUGUUUUCUUCUCAAGCUGUAAACUCAGCACUAGAUGACAAAUCGCAGCACCCCCACAUCCUGCCUGCCUGGCCUCCCACGCCUCACUCACGUGGCAAUCUCCAGAUAGUGAUGGGGAUUCCCGAGGGCAUGCAGGGGCCAGAUGCCCACUUGUGCCCUGUGCCUGGGUGAGUGAGGUGUGCAAGGUGGGCCUCUGUUCUGCUGCCAGCCCAGCCAAUGAUGGCAAGGACAGAGGGUUCAAAGCUCUGACCCCCAUUGUAAACAGGGGGCAGAGGAGCCGCCCACCUGAGCAGCAUCAGAUCCAUGCAAAGUGCCAGGUGGAGGUGAAACACAGCCAGCGACACGACUGUUGGUAUUUCGGGUCAACUCACCUUGAGCUGGAGGGAGCAGUCAGCCUCCAAGAAGGCACGACGUGACACAGUCCAGACCCCUUGCCCGCCUCUGCUGGCCUUUCCUCAUCAGCAAAAUGUGGAGAUAACAGCGCCUACCUAAUUGGGAUGCUGUGAGGAUUGAGAGAAUACACAGAAACAGCUUAGAACACUACCUCAAUUGUUCUACACACACCUGAGUUGGCAAGUGUGUGAAGUAACCUCCUCCGAGUCCUGGACUGUGGACAGUGAUGCCACCUUUUGGCACAACUCCCCUAGAAUUUAAGGAGACCAAGACAUUGUGAAAACCAAGUGUCUCCCACCUUGCCAGGACCUAUAAAGUCAAGGGCGGUGCUGGCAUAUUUUGUUCCUGUGACAGGGGCUGAUGAGGUCACUGUGGGAAUCACAGCAAGUCCAAGUCCAUGAGGCUUAGGGAGAAGGCUGUGCAUCACCCUCAUGGGCCGGGAGCUCCAGGAACAGCUUUCCCAGAUUUACGCUGAGGGAGUCCUGAAUCCAGGAAGGAGGUUCCAUGGCCACCUGGCACCAUGUGUCAAUCUCCCAGGUCUGUGAGUACUCUGGUCUCAGCCAGCUGAGGAAGCCGUGGGUCAACAUGAAAAUGCACACCCAGGAAGCCAUCUGCCCCAAGGAGUGAGUAGCUGCUGGACUAGUCCUCUCCUACACAUGGCUGAUACCAGGUGAUCUGUGAAUCUGGCGUCACAUGCUCCCUCAAUCCCGGAGCCAUCCUGUGAAAGAAAUGGGCCAAGGUUCAAAGGCCAUCUACAGAGAGGACCUCCCCCUGGGCCCCAGGAGCCCUGUGCUCUCUGGCAGGCACAACCUAGUACUCAUUUCAAAGGUGUGGAAACAGUCUGGGAAGUUAUGUGACUUUUCAUCCCCAUGAGCGGGGGAUCUGUUGACAAACCUGUUUUUCCUCUCAUCUGUGCUCUCUUUGUUGGUUGAUGUCGAGGGGCAGGGUGACUCUUUGGUCCCCUUCCCCCAUUCCAAAGAUCCCCUGCAGGAAGAGGAGAGGAAACAGCAUAUGCUGUCUCAGUGCAGGCUGCUAUUACAAAACUAUCAUAGACUGGGAGGCUUAAACAACAAACAUUUAUUUUUCACUGUUCUGGAGGUUGGAAAGUACAAGACAAAGGCACCAGCAGUUUGGUGUCUGGUGAAGACCUGCUCCCUGGUUCACAGAUGGCGCCUUCUGGCUGUGUCUCCACAUGGUGGAAGAGAUGACCAAGUCCCCUGGGGUCCCUUUAUUAAGGGCACUAAUCCCAUUCAUGAGGAUUCUUCCCUCACGACCUAAUCAUUUCCCAAUGGCCCCACCUUCAAAUACCAUGGCAUUAAUACCUUGGGCAUUAGGAUUUUAACAUAUGAAUUUGAGGGAUACAAACAUUGGGUACAUACCACAUGCUGACACCAUUUGCCAUGAUGCAGUCACACUCAGUACCUCCCAAGUAUCAUCUGCAUACACCUGGCUGAGGAGAAAACAAUUAGAAAGGUAACACCAGGGGCCCUCCUGGUGAUGGAACUGCUCUGUAUCUCGACUGUGGCAGUCACAUGAUUGGACACAUGAUAAAAUUGCAUGGAACCAAACACACACACACAAAUGAGUGCAUGUGAGCCUGAUGAAAUUUGAAUAAAGUCGAUCCUUGGAUCAAUGUGAAUUUCUGGUUAUGACAGCUAUUCUUAUGUAAGAUGUUACCACUAGGGGAAACUGGAGAAUCUCUGUAAUAUUUCUUACCACUGCAUGUGAACCUACAACUCUCUAAAAAUAUUUUUUAAUUGAAAAAAAUUAAUUCUCACACUCCAAAGUGCAUUUAAUUUAAGCUACUUUAGUAAAUAGGCAGCUGAAGCCCAGGAGGGGCUCCUCCGUCUUUGCUGCUGUCCCCUCCUGGCACCUGUGGCUGCAGGUGAGUGCCAGGAGGAGCAUUUCAACAGGGGGAGCCCCGGGGAGAGGGCUGGGCUGGGACUUGCUAAUGCUGGUCUUCAAGGAGAACCUAGGAGUGAGUCAGGGCUGGGAGUGAGUCUGCAGGAGGAGCCCUCUGGAGGCCCAGGGGUACCCAUGUGGGAGCUGUCUCUCAGCUGGGCAGAGACCUGGCUCCAGUCCCAUGGGGGCAGAAGAGGUGGACAGCACAAUCUCCUUCAGUCCAGCUGGUGGCCAGUUCUCUAAACCCUCUGAUAAAGAGAGGCUCGGAUCUCAACAUUCACUGCCUCUCAGGGUGGAGAAAGGAAGAUUCAAAGUGGGAAUGAGGGAAUGCUAUACUUACUAUAAGCAACCAAAAUGUAUGUUGUGAAAAAGUGUUUUUUAAUUGAUGUGUUUUUUUCUAUUACAGAUUCCAAAAUAUUAAAAUUUUGAUUUUUCCUAUUUUGAGGCAAGUAUGUACUCCAUCUUCUUAACCCUUAAUUAGUGUUUUAUCAGAACAUCAUAAUUUUAAUCCCAGGGUCAGGUGUGUUUGGGAGGUGCUGACCAGAGCUAACUUAGCAGCUCCUGCAGGAGAGGCCUUCAUGGUGCUGCCAGCUCUACUCCAGUCCCUCUCUUGCUCUAAGUUCUCUGCCACUCAAGACUGCCCAUUCCUUCCCAGGUCCCAGCUCUCCCUAUAGUUUCUCUCAUGUGCAGAGCCAUGACUUGCAGUGGCAAUCGGCUGGGCCCAUGGAUGCCAUGUGAUGCCUUAGCUUUUCUUACAGCUCAGUCUUGGGAGUGCAAGAGAGACAAUAAUUGACUGAAAAAUCAUGUGGCUCUCUGGUCUGAGGUUCAGAAAUCUUUCAAUUGUGCUUACGGAAGCAUGGCUUCCCCUUGUGGAGGUUGUUAUUGUUGUCAGUGGUGGGGUGUGUGUGUGUGUGUGUGUAUGCACCCGUGUGCACACAUACAUUAUGUUUUGUUUGAGAUUUUAAUACUUGAAGCAGGAAUUAGCAAGAUCAGACACCAUUUCCUUUCACUGAGAGUUAGCCAGGCUUGAUUCCUUCCCGGAGCUACAUUCUUUCUCCCUUGGUCCAGGGAAAACUUCUCAGAUUGGGUUCCUGGUUGAUGUGAAGUGUAAACACGAUGCAAAAAGGAGACUCCUGGCUUCAGUGUAUUCAUCAAGAAUUAUUGGCAUAACCAUUACCAAUUAAAACAUACAAGGUUUCCCAGAUAUUCUUACCUGAUCAUAUUACAAGACAGCCAUUUAAAACUGCCCUAAGGCCAUCAGUCUAAGCAAAAGCAACCAAUCUAAGAAGCAAAAAGUAACACAUACUGGAAUCCCAUGCUAUGUGAUGACAUGGAGAAGUUCGUAACAUACACAAACCAAGGGUUCUUAGGGGGGAUAUGGCCUGUUGAGGGGCAUUAGGUUGCAGUCUUGGUUGAUCCAAUUUAAACACCUGGGUUGAUACAGAAUUCUGAUUUUCUAGGCCUUGAUAUUUGCUACAAGCGAGUAUUUCUGCAUAACUUGGGUCACUUUUUCCUCAUGGUUACCUGACCAGUCUGUUCACUGUGAACAUUGCCUACUGUGUCCACCUAUCAUGGAGAAGACCUGAAAUUCCACUGUGAGGACUCUAGAAUCACAGGUCAGGAGACAAGUAAUCUUUCCAGCAAAGAAGUUUCUCAACCUUCUGGUAAACAUAGUACAGGGAAUUUUAAAACUUCUGUUUGGUCCUCUAAGACUUUGGUCCAGACUUUGGCUUUGAAUUUAAGACUUAAUAGGGGCUACCCUGGAAAAUUAAAGAACCCCAGCUAGGAAGUUGUCAUAAGGGAUGCACUUACUUUGGGGACACUUGUAUGAGAUCAUCAGGUAUGGCAUCACCAAAGAACUCUCCAGCCCACCUACAACCGUUCUCCCUCAAGGCCAACACUGGUAAGAGCAGGCACAGACAGGGAGGGUUGAAUCACCAGGAUCAGCACCAGACAGCAUAUUCUCUCUAAAAUCUACCAAUGUGGGAAGAGCCAGAAGGGUGGAUUCAAUCCAGAUGCCCAGGGAAAUCAGAUCCCAACACCAGGUCAAGGGGAGGAACUGGGAGGCAUAAGCAGGACGCGAAAGCCAAGAGAAAACCCAGUGGAUCUGGAACAGCAGUGAGGAGGCUCCCAGUGAAAAAAAAUUUUUUUUUUUUUUUUUUUUUUAAACGGAAUCUUGCUCUGUCGCCCAGGCUGGAGUGCAGUGGCACGAUCUCAGCUCACUGCAAACUCUGCCUCCCAGGUUCAAGCGAUUCUCCUGUCUCAGCCUCCCGAGUAGCUGGGAUUACAGGCGUGUGCCACCACGCCUGGCUAAUUUUUGUAUUUUUAGUAGAGACAGGGUUUCACCGUGUUAGCCAGGAUGGUCUCAAUCUCCUGACCUCAUUAUCCGCCCACCUUGGUCUCCCAAGGUGCCCAGUGAAAAUUUAAAGCAGCAUUGCACGUGUUGAUCGUAGAAUAUACAGUAUUUGGGCAGGUAAGGUUGACUGAAAGGUAUCAGUUAAGAAGAACAAGCUUUGAAAGCUUAGUCUAGGUUUUGUGGGUUUGUUUGUUUGUUGGUCCAGUAGGACUGGGCCAUUUUAGAUUUGUCUGUUCUUUCAUAAACACUUAUAUUUGCAAUGAGAGAGACAUUAUGCUGGGCUCUGGGAAAAUAAUGGUAAAUAAGGUAUAGGACCUGAUUGAAGGAAAUUAUAAUUUAGUAGCAAAGAUUAAAAAUGGAAACACAAUUGCAAUGUGAUGUUUUAAGUUUGGUAUUAAUGGAAAGUUCUAGGUGCAAUUGAAGUAUCUAGGAAAGGUAGUCUUGGAAUAAAGACAGGAAAGGUUUAGCAGAGGAGACAGCUAAAGCACAAAUAAAUAAUUAGAAGAAGAUGGUCAGGUGAACUGGGGAGUGCAUUCUAAGAAAAUGGUCACCAUGUACUCUGAGGCUUUCUCAAGCAGCCCCUCAGCUGAUUCUCUGGACUCCUGGACAUAGUCCACUCUGCUGUGCACAUGCAGAAGGCAGGCAAAGCUCCUGCUUCCUGGGCCACUCUGGCUGUACCUCCCCACCUAAUGUGAGCUGGAUGCUUGUCAGGGGUCUGUCUUCAUUUUCCUCAUAUCUAUUUAUAACUCUUAUACUUGUUAUCAAAGUUAUUUAAUAUAAGUAAAUUUAUUCAAACCAAUGAGAUAUGGGUACAAAUGAGUUGUCAUUCCUGUGAAAAUUAUUUUUUUAUUUUGUAGCUAGUUUUAUUUUUAUUUAUUUAUUUUAUUAUUUUUCCAUAAGUUAUUGGGGUACAGGUGGUAUUUGGUUACAUGAGUAAGUUCUUUAGUGGUGAUUUGUGAGAUUUUGGUGCACCCACCACCUGAGCAGUAUACACUGCCCCCUAUUUGCAGUCUUUUGUCCCUCGCUACCCUACUUUUACGCCCAAUCCCCCAAAGUCCAUUGUAUCAUUCUUAGGCCUUUGCGUCCUCAUAGCUUAGUUCCCACAUAUCAGUGAGAACAUAAAAUGUUUGGUUUUCCAUUCCUGAGUUACUUCAUUUAGAAUAAUCAUCUCCAAUCGUGUCCAAGUCGCUGCAAAUGCUAUUAAUUCUUUCCUUUUUAUGGCUGAGUAGUAUUCAAUCAUAUAUAUACACCACAGUUCCUUUAUCCACUCAUUGAUUGAUGGCAUUUGGGUUGGUUCCAUGAUUUUGCAACUGUGAAUGUGCUGCUAUAAACAUGCAUGUGCAAGUAUUCUUUGUGUAUAAUGACUUCUUUUCCUCUGGGUAAAUACCCAGAAGAAAUCCCUGUGAAAAAUUAAAUUGCAAGUGUGGAAAGACUUAUUGAGCAUAGCCACUAAAAAAUAAUGCUACCAAAUUCAGUGUUUCCAAGUAGCUGUAACUUAUUGGGGAACUAAAAUGGGAAAUAGCCACUAAAAUUCUACAAUCAGAAUGCUUGGCAAUUGUUUUAAAGUUCUGAGUCCGUUUUAAAAAAGCUAACAAUGGAAUGUAUAGAGGAUGCAGCUUAGACAUGCAUUAUGCAAGAGGGACAUCAUGGGAUGCCUACUGGGCCCACACCUCAGAGAGGCUUUUGCUUUAUGUCACAAGAUUAGUAACCAAAUAUUCAUGUAUAUGUUUUA
rnacentral:lncRNA from 1 species